rnacentral:lncRNA from 1 species
AUGAAGAAGGGAGCACAUUACUGUGCCAUGAUGACAGUCAGGUCACAGACAGCAACCCAAGCCUUUCCUGAUCUUGUGCUCUUAAACUACAGGCCCAGUCAAGCUAUUCCAGAGGAAUUCACUGCACCUCUGGAGCUCCAGCAGCAGCAUUUUGGCUUGGUGGAUGAUUAUGGUAUUCAACCAAGACAUCCGAAGUUGAGAACAUGGGUGAGGCGCAAGGAAUCGGAAAAGCUCCAAAAAGCACGCAAAAGCAAGCGAGAUGAACCAGAUUUGGAGGAGUAUUAUUACGAUGACCUUUUUUGACCUUCUUAAGCAUCCUUGUACUAAAUGUGUUAUCAGUCACAGCAGCAUCCUUCCCAUGGCAUUUAGCAAAAUAAUCCUUCUAUGUAUCUAUAUGCCGAGACUCAUUCCCUCAGUUUUGAAUAUUUCCUACAUCCAUAGUGCAGGUGCUCAAAACAUUCCCAAAAUACAUGCACAGUACUUGACAUCAUGCAUUAACUCUGAUGAGAGUUGAGAAGCUUAACAAAAUCUGCAAAGUGGCUACAGGUGGACAUUUUUUAUUUAUUAAAAAAAAAAGAGGUGGAUAUUUUUAAAAAGAGUUGGGGAUUGUGUUUCAAAUACUGGUGUUAACUGUAGCUCUUACUAGAGCUUUUCUACCUGUUUCGCUUGUUAUGAUUUUAUAACUUCCAUGCAUUUCUCUUUCCUACUUACUCAUUAUUCUAUUCUUUGUUCCGCCUCAUGUCAAUCCCCCAAAUUUUAGGGAAAUUUGACUAAUGAAAGCAGAAUCAUUCAAUUUAAACAUAUGCAAGUACCUUUACUUUGGAAAAAUAAUUGUGUUGCUUUUUCUUUCAUUUGUUUUAAUUGCAAAACACCACUGUGUUUGAAGUUAAUUGCUUAUUCUCUUUAAAACAUAGAUGAAAAAUGAUUGCCCCAACAGAAUCCACUGUACCUCACAGCAGCUGGAGAAUUUCUUCUGCCUUUGGAAGAAACAAGAUUCCUUCAUGUCUGGUAAUUUUUUGUGGUACACUCCAGGAUGACAUUCAGUUGGCAUCAGGUGCUUCCUGCAUCAUGUUUGCUCAUGCUGAACCUAGCAUCCCCUAAGGCCAUGCUGAAAUUGUUCUAAAAGUUGCCAGGCACCUUCACUAUAUACAUUUAGAAGAUUGGUUACCCCGGCCUUUGGCUGAGGAAACACCUUCCCUGCCCCUGCCCCAGUCUCAGAUGCUGUUAUCUUAAAUGUUGUUUCUGAAUAUGUUGUUGUUUAUUGUGUUGUUAUUGUCCAACUGUACAUUUUCUUAAAAUAAAAUAUAAAAUAACAAUUCA